CGAAGAACCUUACCUGGUCUUGACAUCCACAGAACUUUCCAGAGAUGGAUUGGUGCCUUCGGGAACUGUGAGACAGGUGCUGCAUGGCUGUCGUCAGCGUCGUGUCGUGAGAUGUUGGUAAGUCCCGCAACGAGCGCAACCCUCGACCUUAGUUGCCAGCAUUCAGUUGGGCACUCUAAGGUGACUGCCGGCUAAAAGUCGGAGGAAGGUGGGGAUGACGUCAAAUCAUCAUGCCCCUUAUGACCUGGGCUACACACGUGCUACAAUGGGCGGUACAAAGGGUCGCGAACCCGCGAGGGGGAGCCAAUCCCAAAAAGCCGCUCUCAGUUCGGAUUGCAGGCUGCAACUCGCCUGCAUGAAGCCGGAAUCGCUAGUAAUCGCGGAUCAGCAUGCCGCGGUCGAAUACGUUCCCGGGCCUU
rnacentral:rRNA from 1 species